UUGCAUAAAUUUCAGUUUGUCAAAAAUUUGUUAUUCUAUUAUUUGUAAGGAAUGGUAAAACACAUUUUAAUUAAACACACAUACAAUGCAAAAAAAAAACAUUACUCAAUCAAUAUCAAUAUACAACCACAAUGAAAAAUAAAAUAAAAAACUUUACUCAAUCCAAUGCUUCUUCUAGGGAAGAGCCUCAAGUUCAUCAUUCUGUAAAAAAACAAAUAUUUCAAAAUAACUACAAACAGUUCAAAAUAAUAGAAAAUGCUAAAAUAAGAAUUGAAGACAUGAAAAAUACGCAGAAAGUAUUAGUGUUCAGUUUUGGACCUUCAUCUUAAGAAUUAGAUUUUCCUUUUGCAACCGCAGUAUUUGAUUCUACAAUACGGCUACUACACCCUGCUAAUCAAACAAAUCAUUUCACAAAAUUCUCCACAAAAUUCUUGUUCAGGAUAACUUGAUAAGCAAUGGUUGGCUACAAUAUCAAACAUAACAAAAUUAAGUAAAUAAAUUGAAAAAAAGUUAAUAUAAAAAUCAAAAGUAGAAUUAAAAGAAUCCUUCGUCAGCUCGUUUUGAAAUCUCAAGAAAUUCGGUGAAUAUGUUCUUCGUCCCACUCCAACGAUCAAGAACAAUACUCUAA
rnacentral:lncRNA from 1 species